rnacentral:rRNA from 1 species
UACGAGUGCCCCAAGCGUUAUCCGGAAUCAUUGGGCGUAAAGGGUGUGUAGGUGGUCGUGUUAGUCUUGUGUUAAAUUCUUAGGCUUAACCUAAGACAUGCAUAGGAAACGGCACGACUUGAAGAUGCGAGGGGUGAAUGGAACUCAUAGUGGAGGGGUGAAAUCCGUUGAUAUUAUGGGGAACACCAAAAGCGAAGGCAAUUCACUGGCGCAUUCUUGACACUGAAACACGAAAGCGUGGGUAGCGAAUGGG